rnacentral:tRNA from 1 species
AUUCUAGGCAGUACUGUGAUAGAACACCAGACUUGAAAUCUGGGAGAUCUGGGUUUGAAUCCCACCUCUAAUA